UACGUAGGGAGCGAGCGUUGUCCGGAAUUAUUGGGCGUAAAGAGCGUGUAGGCGGUUCGGUAAGUCUGUUGUGAAAUCUUGGGGCUCAACCCCGAGCGUGCAACGGAUACUGCCGGGCUAGAGGGUGGUAGAGGCAAGUGGAAUUCCGAGUGUAGCGGUGAAAUGCGCAGAUAUUCGGAGGAACACCAGUAGCGAAGGCGGCUUGCUGGGCCACACCUGACGCUGAGACGCGAAAGCUAGGGGAGCGAACAGG
rnacentral:rRNA from 1 species